rnacentral:rRNA from 1 species
AAUGAACGCUGGCGGCAGGCCUAACACAUGCAAGUCGAACGGAUCCUUCGGGAUUAGUGGCGGACGGGUGAGUAACGCGUGGGAACGUGCCCUUUGGUUCGGAAUAGCCUCGGGAAACUGGGAGUAAUACCGGAUAAGCCCUUCGGGGGAAAGAUUUAUCGCAAAAGGAUCGGCCCGCGUUGGAUUAGGUAGUUGGUGGGGUAAUGGCCUACCAAGCCGACGAUCCAUAGCUGGUUUGAGAGGAUGAUCAGCCACACUGGGACUGAGACACGGCCCAGACUCCUACGGGAGGCAGCAGUGGGGAAUCUUAGACAAUGGGGGAAACCCUGAUCUAGCCAUGCCGCGUGAUCGAUGAAGGCCUUAGGGUUGUAAAGAUCUUUCAGUUGGGAAGAUAAUGACGGUACCAACAGAAGAAGCCCCGGCUAACUCCGUGCCAGCCGCCGCUGUAAUAC